UAGCCCAGAUGAAUGGAAAGUC
rnacentral:miRNA from 2 species